rnacentral:rRNA from 1 species
UACGAAGGGGGCUAGCGUUGUUCGGAAUUACUGGGCGUAAAGCGCACGUAGGCGGACUACUAAGUCAGGGGUGAAAUCCCGGGGCUCAACCCCGGAACUGCCUUUGAUACUGAGAGUCUCGAGUCCGGAAGAGGUGAGUGGAAUUCCGAGUGUAGAGGUGAAAUUCGUAGAUAUUCGGAGGAACACCAGUGGCGAAGGCGGCUCACUGGUCCGGUACUGACGCUGAGGUGCGAAAGCGUGGGGAGCAAACAGGG